UGGAUCCAGACUUUGAUCAUGGCUCAGGAUGAACGCUAGCUACAGGCUUAACACAUGCAAGUCGAGGGGAAACGAUAGAGAAAGCUUGCUUUUUCUAGGCGUCGACCGGCACACGGGUGAGUAACGCGUAUCCAACCUGCCCAUCACUUGGGGAUAACCUAGCGAAAGUAAGACUAAUACCCAAUGAUAUCUCUAGAAGACAUCUGAAAGAGAUUAAAGAUUUAUCGGUGAUGGAUGGGGAUGCGUCUGAUUAGCUUGUUGGCGGGGUAACGGCCCACCAAGGCGACGAUCAGUAGGGGUUCUGAGAGGAAGGUCCCCCACAUUGGAACUGAGACACGGUCCAAACUCCUACGGGAGGCAGCAGUGAGGAAUAUUGGUCAAUGGGCGAGAGCCUGAACCAGCCAAGUAGCGUGCAGGAUGACGGCCCUAUGGGUUGUAAACUGCUUUUAUAAGGGAAUAAAGUGAGAGUCGUGACUCUUUUUGCAUGUACCUUAUGAAUAAGGACCGGCUAAUUCCGUGCCAGCAGCCGCGGUAAUACGGAAGGUCCGGGCGUUAUCCGGAUUUAUUGGGUUUAAAGGGAGCGUAGGCCGGAAAUUAAGCGUGUUGUGAAAUGUAGAUGCUCAACAUCUGCACUGCAGCGCGAACUGGCUUCCUUGAGUACGCACAAAGUGGGCGGAAUUCGUGGUGUAGCGGUGAAAUGCUUAGAUAUCA
rnacentral:rRNA from 1 species